ACACAUGCAGUCGAGGGGUAUAGUUCUUCGGAACUAGAGACCGGCGCACGGGUGCGUAACGCGUAUGCAAUCUACCUUUCACAGAGGGAUAGCCCAGAGAAAUUUGGAUUAAUACCUCAUAGUAUUAUAGAGUGGCAUCACUUUAUAAUUAAAGUCACAACGGUGAAAGAUGAGCAUGCGUCCCAUUAGCUAGUUGGUAAGGUAACGGCUUACCAAGGCAACGAUGGGUAGGGGUCCUGAGAGGGAGAUCCCCCACACUGGUACUGAGACACGGACCAGACUCCUACGGGAGGCAGCAGUGAGGAAUAUUGGACAAUGGGCGCAAGCCUGAUCCAGCCAUGCCGCGUGCAGGAUGACGGUCCUAUGGAUUGUAAACUGCUUUUGUACAGGAAGAAACACUGGUUCGUGAACCAGCUUGACGGUACUGUAAGAAUAAGGAUCGGCUAACUCCGUGCCAGCAGCCGCGGUAAUACGGAGGAUCCAAGCGUUAUCCGGAAUCAUUGGGUUUAAAGGGUCCGUAGGCGGUUUAGUAAGUCAGUGGUGAAAGCCCAUCGCUCAACGGUGGAACGGCCAUUGAUACUGCUAAACUUGAAUUAUUAGGAAGUAACUAGAAUAUGUAGUGUAGCGGUGAAAUGCUUAGAGAUUACAUGGAAUACCAAUUGCGAAGGCAGGUUACUACUAAUGGAUUGACGCUGAUGGACGAAAGCGUGGGUAGCGAACAGGAUUAGAUACCCUGGUAGUCCACGCCGU
rnacentral:rRNA from 1 species